rfam:Fusobacterium nucleatum subsp. nucleatum ATCC 25586, complete genome.
AUUGAAUAUAAAUCCAAACCAAAGACCGUAGGGGGAGAUAAUCCUUAAAUAACCUACCGAGGUUGGAAGUUAGAUAUACUAACCUCAAACUCAACCCCUGUUCUUUGCAAUAGGGGUAUAUUUUUAGGAAA